rnacentral:rRNA from 1 species
GGGUUGUGAGGUUAAGCGACUAAGCGUACACGGUGGAUGCCCUGGCAGUCAGAGGCGAUGAAGGGCGUGCUAAUCUGCGAUAAGCGCCGGUAAGGUGAUAUGAACCGUUAUAACCGGCGAUACCCGAAUGGGGAAACCCAGUGUGAUUCGUCACACUAUCAUUAACUGAAUCCAUAGGUUAAUGAGGCGAACCGGGGGAACUGAAACAUCUAAGUACCCCGAGGAAAAGAAAUCAACCGAGAUUCCCCCAGUAGCGGCGAGCGAACGGGGAGGAGCCCAGAGCCUGAAUCAGCAUGUGUGUUAGUGGAAGCGUCUGGAAAGGCGCGCGAUACAGGGUGACAGCCCCGUACACAAAAGCGCAUGUGCUGUGAGCUCGAUGAGUAGGGCGGGACACGUGGUAUCCUGUCUGAAUAUGGGGGGACCAUCCUCCAAGGCUAAAUACUCCUGACUGACCGAUAGUGAACCAGUACCGUGAGGGAAAGGCGAAAAGAACCCCGGCGAGGGGAGUGAAAAAGAACCUGAAACCGUGUACGUACAAGCAGUGGGAGCACAGGUUUACCUGUGUGACUGCGUACCUUUUGUAUAAUGGGUCAGCGACUUAUAUUCUGUAGCAAGGUUAACCGAAUAGGGGAGCCGGAGGGAAACCGAGUCUUAACCGGGCGUUAAGUUGCAGGGUAUAGACCCGAAACCCGGUGAUCUAGCCAUGGGCAGGUUGAAGGUUGGGUAACACUAACUGGAGGACCGAACCGACUAAUGUUGAAAAAUUUAGCGGAUGACCUGUGGCUGGGGGAUGAAAGGCCAAUCAAACCGGGAGAUAGCUGGUUCUCCCCGAAAGCUAUUUAGGUAGCGCCUCGUGAAUUCAUCUCCGGGGGUAGAGCACUGUUUCGGCUAGGGGGCCAUCCCGGCUUACCAACCCGAUGCAAACUGCGAAUACCGGAGAAUGUUAUCACGGGAGACACACGGCGGGUGCUAACGUCCGUCGUGAAGAGGGAAACAACCCAGACCGCCAGCUAAGGUCCCAAAGUCAUGGUUAAGUGGGAAACGAUGUGGGAAGGCCCAGACAGCCAGGAUGUUGGCUUAGAAGCAGCCAUCAUUUAAAGAAAGCGUAAUAGCUCACUGGUCGAGUCGGCCUGCGCGGAAGAUGUAACGGGGCUAAACCAUGCACCGAAGCUGCGGCAGCGAACGUAUCACUUAAAGCGAUUCAGCGGGUUACGAUUGACGGAGCGAAGCGACGUCAAAGCGUAUACAAAGUCGAGUCGGUUUAAGGAUACGUUCGUUGGGUAGGGGAGCGUUCUGUAAGCCUGCGAAGGUGGCCUGUGAGGGUUGCUGGAGGUAUCAGAAGUGCGAAUGCUGACAUAAGUAACGAUAAAGCGGGUGAAAAGCCCGCUCGCCGGAAGACCAAGGGUUCCUGUCCAACGUUAAUCGGGGCAGGGUGAGUCGCCCCCUAAGGCGAGGCCGAAAGGCGUAGUCGAUGGGAAACGGGUUAAUAUUCCCGUACUUGGUGUUACUGCGAAGGGGGGACGGAGAAGGCUAUGUUGGCCGGGCGACGGUUGUCCCGGUUUAAGCGUGUAGGUGUGUGUUCCAGGUAAAUCCGGUUCACUUUAACACUGAGGCGUGACGACGAGGCACUACGGUGCUGAAGCAACAAAUGCCCUGCUUCCAGGAAAAGCCUCUAAGCAUCAGGUAACAUCAAAUCGUACCCCAAACCGACACAGGUGGUCAGGUAGAGAAUACCAAGGCGCUUGAGAGAACUCGGGUGAAGGAACUAGGCAAAAUGGUGCCGUAACUUCGGGAGAAGGCACGCUGACACGUAGGUGAAGUGAUUUACUCAUGGAGCUGAAGUCAGUCGAAGAUACCAGCUGGCUGCAACUGUUUAUUAAAAACACAGCACUGUGCAAACACGAAAGUGGACGUAUACGGUGUGACGCCUGCCCGGUGCCGGAAGGUUAAUUGAUGGGGUCAGCGCAAGCGAAGCUCCUGAUCGAAGCCCCGGUAAACGGCGGCCGUAACUAUAACGGUCCUAAGGUAGCGAAAUUCCUUGUCGGGUAAGUUCCGACCUGCACGAAUGGCGUAAUGAUGGCCAGGCUGUCUCCACCCGAGACUCAGUGAAAUUGAACUCGCUGUGAAGAUGCAGUGUACCCGCGGCAAGACGGAAAGACCCCGUGAACCUUUACUAUAGCUUGACACUGAACAUUGAGCCUUGAUGUGUAGGAUAGGUGGGAGGCUUUGAAGUGUGGACGCCAGUCUGCAUGGAGCCGACCUUGAAAUACCACCCUUUAAUGUUUGAUGUUCUAACGUGGACCCGUUACCCGGGUUGCGGACAGUGUCUGGUGGGUAGUUUGACUGGGGCGGUCUCCUCCUAAAGAGUAACGGAGGAGCACGAAGGUUGGCUAAUCCUGGUCGGACAUCAGGAGGUUAGUGCAAUGGCAUAAGCCAGCUUGACUGCGAGCGUGACGGCGCGAGCAGGUGCGAAAGCAGGUCAUAGUGAUCCGGUGGUUCUGAAUGGAAGGGCCAUCGCUCAACGGAUAAAAGGUACUCCGGGGAUAACAGGCUGAUACCGCCCAAGAGUUCAUAUCGACGGCGGUGUUUGGCACCUCGAUGUCGGCUCAUCACAUCCUGGGGCUGAAGCAGGUCCCAAGGGUAUGGCUGUUCGCCAUUUAAAGUGGUACGCGAGCUGGGUUUAGAACGUCGUGAGACAGUUCGGUCCCUAUCUGCCGUGGGCGCUGGAGAACUGAGGGGGGCUGCUCCUAGUACGAGAGGACCGGAGUGGACGCAUCACUGGUGUUCGGGUUGUCAUGCCAAUGGCACUGCCCGGUAGCUAAAUGCGGAAGAGAUAAGUGCUGAAAGCAUCUAAGCACGAAACUUGCCCCGAGAUGAGUUCUCCCUGAGACUUAGAGUCUCCUGAAGGAACGUUGAAGACGACGACGUUGAUAGGCCGGGUGUGUAAGCGCAGCGAUGCGUUGAGCUAACCGGUACUAAUGAACCGUGAGGCUUAACCUUACAACGCCGAAG